AUACGUAGGUGGCAAGCGUUGUCCGGAAUUAUUGGGCGUAAAGCGCAUGUAGGCGGUUUGGUAAGUAGGUCGUGAAAAUGCGGUGCUUAACGCCGUAUGGUGAUCGAAACUGCUGAACUUGAGUGCAGGAGAGGAAAGGGGAACUCCCAGUGUAGCGGUGAAAUGCGUAGAUAUUGGGAAGAACACCGGUGGCGAAGGCGCCUUUCUGGACUGUGUCUGACGCUCAGAUGCGAAAGCCAGGGUAGCGAACGGGAUUAGAUACCCCGGUAGUCCUGGCCGUAAACGAUGGGUACUAGGUGUGGGAGGUAUCGACUCCUUCCGUGCCGGAGUUAACGCAAUAAGUACCCCGCCUGGGGAGUACGGCCGCAAGGCUUAAACUUAAAGGAAUUGACGGGG
rnacentral:rRNA from 1 species